GUGCUUGCUUCAGCAGCACAUGUACUAUAAUUAAAACAAUACAGAGAAGAUUAGCACAGUCCCAGCACAAAGAUGAUGUACAAAUUUGUGAAGUGUUCCAUAUGUUG